rnacentral:misc_RNA from 1 species
AUCAACAGCAAUAUUUCCCGGAUGCUGAAGAGGCAAAAGAAAAGGUUUUCAUUACAUGUAGAUGACAAACUUUAGAAGAUACUAUGUAAUUAUGAAACACAAGGAUCACAUCUUCCAAGUCUCCUGUAUGAGUAUAUCUGAUCAGAGUUCAAUAAAGGAUUUGAAAAGUCACCAAAUGAGACUGGAUAUGAUCAGUGUGGAAGAAUAUGGAAACAGAAUGAUGGAUGCUGCUUAUUGCAGAGAUAUCCAUUGUUUUCCUCUUAUUA